rnacentral:lncRNA from 1 species
AGAGAGAGAACAAAGAGCAGGUGUGAUCGGAGCUCAGGAAAUCCUCCCUCUGCAAAUGGGGGAUCUCAGAAGUCUUAAUGAAGUAACUAUCCCUGAACACUGGGAUCAAUACUCAGCAUCCAGCUGUCAAAUCAACACCAAGGUCUAUACCUAACUGGAGACACUGAGAAGAAGAAUCAGGGAUGAAUGCAAGAAGGUGAUGUGAGCCAUCCCAUCCCCACACCUGUGUGUUAAGGAACAUGGGGAUGUUUUAAUAGUAAAGAAAUGCCCAUAGGAUGUUUGGGGGUGGUGAUGACUUCCGGUAUUUCCUCUCAAAAGGCUAAAAAUACUGACAGUCUUGUGCUGAAACUGGCUUUAGAUUUUCACCCUGUUUGUCAUUCUGCUCUAAGACUGGCUGGGCACUAUUCUAGGGGAUGGUGAUUCAAAGACAGUAGAAAGCACAUCCCUUUCCUCAAGAUACAACACAUAAACAUAUAAUAGAAAUCAAUAGGGUCAUCCAGAAGUAAGCACUGGGGUCAUGGGAGCUUUGGGAGGGAAGAGGCAGGGUCAGAGAUGGUGGGGGAUAACAGCUGAAGGUCAGCCUUUGAGGCAAUGGGAGGUGGAAGCAUGAUCAGGUUUAGGAGAGGAAGGCAAGGGAUGAACAGCUGCAUCUUGAUAGGGCUUAAAAUGUCAGUCUAGGCGAGGUAGAAGAUAAAGGUGGGGAGGUAGGGCCAGGUGUAAUAUAUAUUUUAUUAAUUUUUUUUUACUUUUUUUUUUUUU